ensembl:snRNA U6 U6 spliceosomal RNA
UCACUUUUGCAGUGCUUAUAUUAAAACUGGAAUGAUACAGAGAUGAUUGGCAUGGCCCCUACACAAGAACGGCAUGCAUAAUCAUGAAGAGCUCCAUAGCUUU